GAUGAACGCUAGCGGCAGGCCUAACCCUUGCAAGUCGAGGGGUAACAGGAAGCUUGCUCCGCUGACAACCGGCGCACGGGUGCGCACCGCGUAUGGAACCUGCCCCUUGCAGGGAAAUAGCCCAGGGAAACUUGAAUUAAUGCCCCGUAGUACCAUUUUACAGCAUUGUAUUGUGGUUAAAGGCUUCGGCCGGCAAGGGAUGGCCAUGCGUCCCAUUAGCUAGUUGGCGGGGUAACGGCCCACCAAGGCUACAAUGGGUAGGGGCCCUGAAAGGGGGAUCCCCCACACUGGUACUGAAACACGGACCAAACUCCUACGGGAGGCAGCAGUGAGGAAUAUUGAACAAUGGGCAAGAGCCUGAUCCAGCCAUGCCGCGUGCAGGAAAAAUGCCCUAUGGGUAGUAAACUGCUUUUAUACGGAAAAAAAAAGGGGCACGUGUGCCCCACUGACGGUACCGUAAAAAUAAGGACCGGCUAACUCCGUG
rnacentral:rRNA from 1 species